rnacentral:rRNA from 1 species
CAGUAGCCACGGUAAUACGGGGGGGGCAAGUGUUAUUCGGAAUGACUGGGUGUAAGGGCACGUAGGCGGUGAAAAGGGUGGAAAGUGAAAGUCGCCAAAACACUGGCGGGGUGCUUUCUUGACCAUUUCACUUGAGUGAGAUAGGGGAGAGUGGAAUUUCGUGUGGAGGGAUCAAAUCCUAAGAUAUACGAAGGAACGCCAACCACGAAGGCAACUCUCUGGGUCCCCACUGACGCUGGGGUGCGAAAGCAUGGGGAGGAAACAGGAUCAGAUACCCCUGUAGUCCCUGUCUCUUAUACCC